ACGCCGGACAUAAAUUCGUAGUACAAGAGCCCCGCGGAAACAAUCCGGCCGGAAAUUAAGGUAAUCGAGUUUGGUUUGGGGAAGUUCUUUUUCACGAACAACUAUUGCGGCAGUUAGAAAAUGGUUGAAAAGCGAAGAUACCAAAACAGUGUUAAGGCGGGGGGAUGAAGAGACCAUCAAUUAAACCUCGCUUGCGGGCCCACUAGCUAAAUUUGCAAGAGACAAUAAAUAUACACCCGGUAUAUCUGAUUCAGUGUCUAAAACCCCGCACCUGCUAUGCACCUUCCACUUAUAAUGUUAUCCGAGUGUAACUGUUUUCUCU